UCGGGCAGCCGAGCCGCCCCGGCCCCCGCCCCGGUAGCGCUUCUUCCUCUACACGUUCUCCUGCUGCUCCUGUCUGACACCACGCACUUCUUGCCCGCUCCCUCUUCCACCCCACGGCCAGGCAGCGCCGGGCGCUUUCCCGAGGCACCGGGACGGACAUUGGGGCGGGAUCUCCCGCCCUCCCCCUCAGCCCCGCUCCCGGCACGGCUGCUGCCCGCCCCCGGGAGCCGGCCAGGACUCCAGCCAAAGCGGUGGAUAUAGGAAUCUGGGAUAACCGGUAAAUAUGGCAACGCACGUAACUGUUGUUAUGCUCUAAAGAUUUCAGUAUGAGACAGGCAACUAGACAGCUCUUUCUGAGGCAUAUGCAAGUUUGUUUUUAUAAAAUCGAUGUAAUUCUUCCAGCAUUUAAAGUAGUUCUUUGAAGUGAGCUCCCUGAACACAAGAUUCGUUUGUGAAGAGCUGGCAGGUGUCUCAUUACACACACACGCACACAGAUAUCAGGAGCUGCUUCCUUUCCCCCAGCAUACCUGAUCUCUGCUCCGUGCAAGACCCUCCUUCAGCUUUCUCUGGCAAACUUCAGGAUGAUGCUGUCUGUGGAAACUGUUAAAAACAAAAACAUAUGCACCUUUGUGGUGAUGUCGUUUGGAUAUUUUGUUUUGAAUGCUCUUUAAGGCCUGUUUUAACAAAGGCCUCUGCCUAUGGGUACACGAUAAAAUACAAUGCAAUAUGAAGACUGAUGUUAUCCAUCUAACCUUGUCACCUGUUCAGUUACCAGUUUGUUGUGAUUCUCUUAAAUAUACUAUUUCAGAAUUAUGAUUUCACAGCCUCUGCCAGAUACAAAAUAACAGAUUCUGUGUGGCAUUUGGAAAGGAGACAACUCCUCACACCGAAACUGCAGUGGUGAGUGCUGCAUGCCCAUUCCUCCCAGGAAUGGUCUUAAAAUCCUUGUAUUUCCUUCUCUGUUGCUUGACUUCCUCCCUCUUUUCCAACACAGUUGCUGUUGUUCUCAUGGUGAUGAUACUUAGUGCUGUGUUUGCCUUUUGGCACAAACGUCUGGAGAAGGUAGUUGUUUUCUGAAUCUGCAUCCACAAGCAGUAUCACCUAAAUCGUGCUGUCCUGAGAAGAAUGGACUCGUGGGAACAUAGGAAACUUUGUCACAACAAGAGUUUGUUGCAUUGGGUAACACAAACUUAGAGCUUUCAAGAGGGUAUUUUAAUGAUUUUAAUAACAAGGAAAAGACAUACACAAUAAGUAAUAACAUAAAAGGCCCUUUGGCCAUAUUUUAUAAUGCUCCACACACUUUGCUUACUUUACCUGAUGGAGUUUGAGUUUCCCCAAAAAAUGCUUUAAGAGAAAGGGAAUAAUUUAUUAUUUUUCCCAAGACUGAGACCUGCUGGUAUCUGUCAUACAAUGAUGUGUUUAAAAGCUCCAUAUCAAUAUUUUGGUUUCCUGCAUAAAAAAGUCUCCAUCAUCACAGAAGAGAUACUUAUUAAGAUCAUGAUUUGAAAAACACAAACAAUGAAGGCCUCAAAAGGAUUAUUUUUUUUUUAAGCUGACAUCCUGAAAAUGUAUGAACGUGUUGAAAACAGCUUUAGCCACUUGCAAGGACCUGUGGAAAAAUAAAACAAGUUUCCUUGAGUCUGAGGCUUACAGAAGGCUUCUUCAUCUUGGAGACAGUGUUCCUCUGAGUGAUGGCAUCAGAAAGAUGGGGAGGCCCAGCAAGGAAACAUUGAACAUAUAAGAUAUGCAAGAUUUAUUUUGUUAACACUGUGCACAUAUCUUGAAGAGUAAAGGAGCCACUAUAUCCUUGUUGUAAUAUCUCAUCCUAAUCGCAGAGGCCGUGUUUUAGAUGUCUUUGUGUAGCAAAUGGAGAAGGAAAACUGCUUUGACCUCACUCAUCCCAAUACUGGAAAAUAUCCUGGUUCACUUCCAAAAUAAAGUUCAACCAAGGGCCACCCAAGUGUAAUACCCUGUUCAAUUACAAAAUAAUCCUUAGGCUGGAACCCACAGAAGAAUGCAUAUUGCCAUUUCCCACCAUGGCUAAAGGAACUCAAGACACUUGGUAAAGCUCAAUACUGAGCAAAAAUACAUAAGGAAAUAAAUAAAUAAAUAAAUAAAUAAAUAAAGACUCUAAAAAAAUUAGACAAUUCCUCUCCCCUGUUUUUGGCUAUGGAACACGUUAGUCUGGAAUUAAAGCAAUAACAUGUUUCAGAAUUCAAUGUCCAAACCAUCAGAUAACUGGAACUUCUGGAUAUCUUCCCCUGUAAAAUAGCAUGCAAGUUAAAUCUGAAAUGCCUGCAUUUUAUAUAGACCACGUUUUAAAUGCAAACAUGUAUAAAAAUGCUAUGAUGUACAAAACACUAGACAGCUAUCCUUUUGCUAUGCAUCAAUUCCAGAAAACAACUGGAAAUCCCUUGGAAAGUUUGAUGUAAUUACAUCUGACUGUAAAUCUUUGACUGUUUUAAUAUACUCAGGUGACCUAAAUAACAUUACACAGAUGAAAAAUUAAUUUAAAGUAAUUAAGAAAGAGUAUUUGUCUCAAGAUCAGUUUCUCUUAGAAAUUACUGCUCUGAAAAGUCCUGUAUGCUUUGUUCUACAGCCAUAAUCUUUGUAUUUCCACAUUGUAAAUACUCCAUGGUAAAUUGCAAUGGAAGCUCGGCUUGGCUUAAGUUCUCCUGGCUCUGUGGUACUGCUUCUUGGUUAAGGAAAUGGAUUUCAUUCUCAGUUUUUGUCAUUCUAUGGUUUAAUUUACGGAUGAUUUAUAUGUGUCCUCUGCUAGUUUAAUGGUGACUUUUCUUCAACAUGAAUUUCUGUCAUGCUCGAACAACUAAUUUACAGACACAAGGGAUAUGUUGAUAAUUAUCCGUUAAAAUGUCUCAACCAAACACUCUUUCUAGAGGUGUAAAUGAAGAUAAUGGAAAAUUCAGUCAGCAGUUCAAAUGAGGUUUCCUUGAACUGAGUUGCUCCUUUCCUCUGGUGUUGUGCCAAGCAAGUUGAGCGUGGCCAGAAGCUGCCCCUUCUAGAUUGGCUGGCAUUGACAUGUAUUAGCUGGCUUCAUGUGCUUUAGAUGGGAGGUGAGAGCUCAUUAAAGCAUUUGAUUUACAAUGCAGUAGUGAUACAGUAAUGCAGAUCAGCCAUGCUGUUCACGUGCAAUAGUUGCCUAUUCCUUUCUAUUUCCUCAGGGCUUCUGGAAACAAGAGCAGGUAGGAGUUAGUAAUAGUCUGGAUGAAUUGUGGCCACUUGCACUGCUGUGCUUGAAAAGUGCCGUGUGGUGUAUUAUGGCCCAAAUAAAUCUGCCACUCUGUUUGUGGAUUGUCCAUGCAGAAAUACGUGUGGGACCUGCUUUUUGAAAGUUAAAUUCUGAUGCCUCAAAAUACCUCCUGUGGCAUGGGUUAUUUGUGAAAAUUGCUUGUAGAGUGUGUUCCUGAAGUGAGUUUGAAUUCAAUCUUUUAAAGUCACCCUUAAUUCAAAAAAGUCAUAAAAAACUGUAGAGCUGCUUUGUGGAAUUAGAUAGCUACAACAAUAUGAGUUUCCAUCAAAACUGGGCAAUCACUGCCCUCAAGGAAGGUGUGUAAAAAAGUACAGGGAGCAAGGUGAAGCUGGGAAAUUAUGACGAGGGGAGAUGAAGAAGGCAGGACAGAGGCACUAAGAGUUUGAUCCUGAGAAACAACAGAAAAAAAAUCUGAAAGCCAGAAGAGAUCUGGGAUUAUGAUAAAAUGAACCAUCUCAAAUUCUUUGAUUCUUUGUAUGCAAGGAAAUAGAAUUCUAUGCUUUUCUUAAUAAAUAAAAGCAUGCACUUGUAAUCUCGAUUUCUUCCUUGAACAAAACAUUCUGUACACCAGCAAAUUUUCUUUAAACUCUGAAAUCAAAAAAGGUAUGAGUUGCAUUAGCAGUCUUGUGGAGACUGCAUUCAACAGCAGUGCUGGACUGACAAGCAGAGAUAACAUCUUAGCUAACCUCCAGAUUCAGUCAGCCAUAAGCACACUGUGAACUUUUUUUCUAACUACCAAGUUGAUGCUAUUUUUAAAAAAACCCACAUACGGAUUAUUUUCAAAUGAAGACAUUUAAGUGUAGCAUUUCAUUAAAGAAAAAAGUGACAACAUAUACUUUAGCUUUCUAUUUCAUCUUAAAUCACAUAACUAGAUUAUUGCAAUAUUCUUUAAAUUCAGAAGUCCCUUUCUCAAAUGGCAGCGAAAAUAGCUUUUCUCGUGACUGUUUAACUUCUAAGAAAGCUACUUUUUUUUGCUCUUUUAUGUCAAUCCUUCCCAUGCACUGUCAUCAUUUUACCAGGGUAAUAGUCUAUUUUCUUUCCUUCUCUUCUUUCUUCAGUAUCUUCUGUAAUUUUCUUCACUAAGGGAAAAGUUCUUGAUUCUGCUGAUCAGGGCACAACUGCUUGAGCAGGGUUCAGUGAGAUGGCUGUAGCAGUGUUGUCGCUGUGGAGACAGGAGCACCAAGGUUUGAACAGAGUUAGUAACCAGAAAUAUUGUGAAGAUAUAGACAACACCUGCUUGCUGCUCUGCCCAUUUGCAUCAGAGAUGCUGUAGAUUACCUGGGAAGGGGAGCACCAUCCAGUGAGUACUACUGUUCCUCCAGCUUGUAUUCAGACAUGGCAGAUCAUGAGCCUUGUCAUUAGUUAACAGUGGAUUCCUGCUGCUUUAUUAAAAACUUGCCUUAAUAUUUAAAUUUCUUUUAUUACUUUAUUUAGGAAUGACACAUUUUUCCCUUAGUGGGGACUGUACUAUGCAGUUUGCCACUCGGUUCUGGACUUUGGAGAACUGACUGCAGGUUUCAGCCUUCAAAAGCCCUAAGAAAUAUGGUAGGGCUAAUGCAGUACUUGUACAGCUGGGAGUUUUGCUUUGUGCUGCCUCAGCAGCAAGGAACAGGAUUGUCUGACCUGGCAACGUUUCUGUCCUUUUCUUUUUUUUUUUCUUUUUGCCAUUCAAGUGCUUUCCCCCUAGAAUUCAAGGAAACUCAUAUUUUGGUUUUUUUCUGAUGAUUUAUCAAAUCCUUUUAAAGUAGUGUGGAUGUUGGCUGAACCUUCUGCAGGUUCAGCCUGUAGUGGCUAAACUGAGUGGAAGCCAAGGAGUUCUCUAAUGUCUGUUAUAAGUCAAGGGUCAUGUUGUAUAUGGAGCAAAAUACAUGUAUAGUGAGAGGAAGCAGAGUUUCCCUAUGUUUUAAAUAAACAAUAGGUCUAAAUUCUAGUUAUUGGUGAUAGGAAGAUGUUUUUGUUCUGUGAGAUUUCUGUUUCCUGUGACACUCUAUAAGGUACAUCUCCUUCAUGUUUGCUGGCAUUAUUUGUUUUUUCUAAAUGUGUGAUGCAGCACAUUCUUAAAAAUAACUGUCAACUUUGUAUUUGUUUUCAAGAAAGUGCUGAUACUAUAUAUUGUACUAAUUUUGGAUUGCAGCAACAGCCAUAAAAUAGGCACACUCAGCAAGAAAUCCAGCAUGACUGUUUUUGGAUUUAGUGUCAUAGGUGAACUGAAGAUAGCAUGAGUUGAUAAAUUUCAUGUACUUUGAAUCUGUGAAUGUGUUUAAAAAUGAGUUCUAAACAUUAAUAUUUUUAAAGCUGCUCAUCACACAUUGAAACCGCUUAUUUUACUUUACUAUCCUUGUAUGAAUUUGUUCACAAGAUGGUUCAUCAAAGCAGUGUAUUUUAAGGGCUAUAUGUUUAUAAAAUACCAAAAGUAGCAGGAUAGUUUAAUUUUGGCUGGUGGUUGUUCACAGUAAGUCCGAACAGGGUCUAUGAAAUAGGCUUAGAGCCUUGUGAAUCUUCUAGCAGAAGACACAGACAGUACAUGAAAACAUUAACAUUUCUUGAAGUUGUUAAUUGCUCUGAAUAAAUCAACAAUUAUUUAUUACAAUGAA